rnacentral:rRNA from 1 species
GACGAACGCUGGCGGCGUGCUUAACACAUGCAAGUCGAACGGUGAAGCGCCUUCCUUUUUGGUGGGUGUGGAUGAGUGGCGAACGGGUGAGUAACACGUGAGUAACCUGCCCCCUUCUUCUGGAUAACCGCAUGAAAGUGUGGCUAAUACGGGAUAUUCUGGGUCUGUCGCAUGAUGGGUCUGGGAAAGAUAUUGUUUCGGUGGGGGAUGGGCUCGCGGCCUAUCAGCUUGUUGGUGGGGUGAUGGCCUACCAAGGCGGUGACGGGUAGCCGGCCUGAGAGGGUGGACGGUCACACUGGGACUGAGACACGGCGCAGACUCCUACGGGAGGCAGCAGUGAGGAAUAGUGCACAAUGCUCGCAAGCCUGAUGCAGCGACGCCGCGUGAGGGAUGGAGGCCUUCGGGUUGUGAACCUCUUUCGCCAGUGAAGCAGGCCUGCCUAGUUUGUGGGUGGGUUGACGGUAGCUGGAUAAGAAGCGCCGGCUAACUACGUG